rnacentral:rRNA from 1 species
UUGGAGGGCAAGUCUGGUGCCAGCAGCCGCGGUAAUUCCAGCUCCAAUAGCGUAUAUUAAAGUUGUUGCAGUUAAAAAGCUCGUAGUUGAAUUUCGGGGUCAGUAGGUUGGUCAUGCCACAGGUAUGUACUGGUCUCACUGAUUCCUCCUUCCUGAUGAACUGUAAUGCCAUUAAUUUGGUGUUGCAGGAAAUCUGGACUGUUACUUUGAAAAAAUUAGAGUGUUUAAAGCAGGCUAACGCCUGAAUACAUUAGCAUGGAAUAAUGAAAUAGGACGUUCGAUCCUAUUUUGUUGGUUUCUAGGAUUGACGUGAUGAUUAAUAGGGAUAGUUGGGGGCAUUAGUAUUCAAUUGUCAGAGGUGAAAUUCUUGGAUUUAUUGAAGACUAACUACUGCGAAAGCAUUUGCCAAGGAUGUUUUCAUUAAUCAAGAACGAAAGUUAGGGGAUCGAAGACGAUCAGAUACCGUCGUAGUCUUAACCAUAAACUAUGCCGACUAGGGAUCGGAUGAUGUUAAUUUUUUAAUGACUCAUUCGGCGCCUUACGGGAAAC